CCUCAACUCUUCUCCCGACCAGCCCGGCCAAAGGCUAGGAUGUGGGAGUAGGAAUACCAACCUGACUUUGAUGCGUAUGUCUGUCGACGUGCAAUUGGCACCAACAGUGUAGUCAAUCAGGCCAGCAACUUGGAGGCCUGGUUUGGGACCAGGCCGAAGGAACGGUGACCCCCCGGAACCGACUACAGACAGAUGUGAGAAGUCUAAGAAAGAAUUACCUGACGAAGAAACUUCAGACGAACAGAUGGUCUGCAGCUUACGAACAAGCAAGGCGGUGUUGGGCAGCAACGACAUUAUCACCAAUGGCUUACCCCUACCCAUCACUCAGUUUUUUUCAGUCACGCGGAUAAACGUACACAGGCACACUACCACUACUACAGUCAACACUUACACUAAGAAUACUGCUACCAGAGAGCCUAAACUUAGGCAAGAAUACCACUGAUAGUAAGCUUAAACUGACGCAAGAAUACCACUCUCGCGGAGGCUUCGCAUCCUCUGAAGAACUCAUCACACCCUCUGAAAGGCUCCUCACCCCCUGAAAGGCUCCUCACCUCUGCGGGGCUCCUCACCAAAUGAAGGGCUCCUCAGCACACCUUGCCUUGGGGUGUUCCUUCAGUGGGUCGCACAGCUCAGGCAAAACACCUCAUAUUUUCCAGGGAACGCUCUAAGCCAGCUCAAGCUAUUUACCCGCUGCAUGUGAAAGCGAAAUAUUUAUAGUAAAAUGUGAAGGAGAGGAGGAGAGGGGGUGAGGGCAGAGUAAAGGGGUGGAUGUAGACUAGGUGGAAAAGAGGUAGGAAAGAGGGAAGGGUAUAGGUAGGAAAGGGAAGAGGAUUGUAAAGGGAAGGAGAGGAUAUGAUACAGAUAGGUUAGAGAAGAGAUGAACUGGAGGAGGGUACAAUAUAAGUAGAUUAGGAAAGUGGUAAAGGUAAAAAGAAAGGGAAGGAAGGGUAUACGUAGGUUAACGGUGAUUGUGAGGGGGGGGGCAGGAGGGUAGGAUAUAGGUAGGCGAGGGAAAGAGAAGGGUAGAGUAUAGAUGGCUUAGGGAAGAGGUAAAGGUGGGGGGAAGAGGAUAGUAAGACACAGGUUAGGGAAAGAGUAAAUAGUGAGGUAGGCUAGAUAAGGGCAGGGGGUGGGGUAGGGUGGGGUGGAAGGAAAUUCCUGCAGUUCUUCCUCCUGAAUAAUAUCCGAACAUUGAAAUUCCGAACACAGCUCAAUGCUUCUCAGGAUGCAAGAAUUACUCUGAGCUGUCUGCCCCUCCAGAGGUAGGACUCCCCAAGAGCAACCCCAGCACCCCUCUAUACACGUCCUACAGUAAGCCAUUUAUACACGUCCUACAGUAACCCUUUUAUGCAUAUCCUACAGUAACCUCUUUAUCACGCUUCCUACAGUAAUACCAUGAUCACGCAUCCAAUAGCAGCCAUUUUAUUCAUAAAACACUACACAACUUAACUUUUUAUAAUCAGUCGUAAACUAUAAUAAGUUAAUUUUGAUAAUUUCAUUCACGAAGUUGCAUGUGUAUACAUUCACAUACAUUAUUCCCAACAUCGUAUUUUUCAUUCACAGAGCUCAAAGUACAUUCAUCUCGCACUUCCAUUCACGGACCUAGUAUAUAUAGUGUUUAUACGUCAUUAUUCACAGAGCUACUUACUGUACACACUCGCCACACGCAGUCAGACGUAAAUAUUAUUAUUAUUUAUUUAUUUAUUUAGUAGGAAGCGAUAAACCCCAUAGUGUUCAUGCAGAGACUGGGGAAUACGAAGCAAUUAAGCGUAAAACAACGCAAAACAUCAAGAAUGUUAAAAUCUUUUUGUUUUCUCGUAAUAUUGUGGUCACUGCGUUGUAUGACCCUUGUAGGUUUAGUGCUUAGUUUGAUUAUAAUAAUGGGUAUAUUGUCGAAACGUUUCGCCUGCCCAACAGGCUUCUUCAGUCGAAUACAAGAGAAUACAUACAAUGAUACUGGAACAGCAGAAGUAGUAGUUUUGACGUGAUCGGUCCGUCAGCCUUGGUAGGUGGUCAGUCCCUCAAGCCAGAUACCAGUGUUACAUAUAAAUUUUAUUCUUCAACUUUUCGAUACUGAUAUACCUUUGAAAGCUUUAGAGAGUUUUCCUACUCUGUAUAUCACAAAUAAUAUAAUACCCUUCAAUGACGUGAAUAAAGCCCAGAAAACGAAGCUUGGGCUAGAAAUUCAGUUUAUUACACACAAAAUAAUUUUUCUGUGAUACCAUUGGAGAUCAUGUACAUCACUGCAGCGAGAUUUUUUGCAUGAUUCAACCAGAAAUAAUUUAUUAGUGAAUGUUGCACUUAGAACAACAGCAUUCAACACUGGGUGAUCUGCCUGGUUUGCUGGCCGUUCUGUUCAUUAUUAUUACUAUUAUUAUUAUUAUUAGUAGUAGAAGCAUUCCUUUGAUAUACCUCUGACGAGUCUCGAGAGUUUCUCUAUUCCCGAAGCCCUGCCCUGGGCCAGGCUUGUCUGGUGCUUACUUGGUCAAUCAGGCUCUUGCUGCUUGCCCACAUAUCCAUCACAAUUUGGUUCAUCUGGCACUUUGGCGAUAUUCGUUCAGUUCUCUCUUGAAACUUCUACAGUUGUCCCAGCAGUUCUUUUGAUAUCGUCUGAUAAGAUGCUGAAUAGUCUGAGACCACGAAUAUUGAUACAAUGCUCUCUUAUUGUGCCCACUGUGCCUCUGCUCUUCAAUGGAUUUAUUUUACACUUCCUUCCAUAUCUCUCACUCCAGUAUAUUGUUUUGGCACUGUGCAGAUUUGGGACUAUGCACGCCUCAAAUAUUUUCCACGUAUAUAUUAUCAUGUAUCUCUCUUCUGCUCCAGUAAGUCGAUAUUUAGGACCCAGACACGUUCCUCGUAAUUUAAAUGUAUUGGCUUUUAUGUGGGCCGUGAAUGAUCUCUAUCUGUUUCAGCUCUGAUUUAUCUCCUGCCCUAAACGGGGCCGAGAAAGCACAAGCGAUUUCAAUAGAGUCAUCGUUGGCACUAUUUCUCUUGUUUUGAAGGUUCUCAUUAUCCACCCCCUCAUUUUCCUGACUCGUGACAUUUGCCUUGUGUUCUUCUGAGAGAAAAGUCACCUGAUAUUAUUACUCCCAGGUCUUUCACGUGUUCCUUUCGUUCUGUUUGAUGAUCUUCUUGAGCUCUGUAUACAGAGUCCCUUUUGAGUUCAUUUUUUCCAUAUCUAAGUAGCUGGAACCCACCAGCAGCUUCGGGGUAACUGCGGUUUUCUUAAACAGAUCAAGGAGUAAAAUUGCAAAAAAAUGCUAAAUACAGCCGCUUUAGAUUCAUCAUAUCACAGUUGUCAAAAACGCUGUGAAUAUAGAAGGCAAUUCAUCAAGCUACUUGUCUUCUGUGUAGGGGUCCACACACUCAACUUUGACCUUGUCACUACAAAAUCAUUGGUGGUGUAUUCUAGAAGUGCUCGUAGAGAACUUGUAGUCAACUGGUAGUUCGCUGACUUCACUGCAUCCUCUCAGUAACCACACCUUCGUAGAUUAAGAACAUAAUAGACGUUCAACAUGAGUUUAGGUUGCAAAACUUGUCUUCCUCUGCCUCCCCAACCCCAGCCUUACCUCACUUCACCUUCUCAACUCCAGCAUCGCCUCCUCACCAGUUCCGGCCGAAUACAUAUAUUAAUGUUCAUUAAGAUUACGAUCUCUUGCUGGGGUUCUAUUCUAUGGCAGGUGCUGGAUGCAUGCUGGGAGUCAAGUGCUGGCAGGCUGGGUGUAUGCUGGGAGUCAAGU